rnacentral:rRNA from 1 species
CCUACGGGAGGCAGCAGUGGGGAAUAUUGGGCAAUGGGCGAAAGCCUGACCCAGCAACGCCGCGUGAAGGAAGAAGGCUUUCUGGUUGUAAACUUCUUUUUACAGGGGAGAGCAGAACACGGUACCUGUCGAAUAAGCCACGGCUAACUACGGGCCAGCAGCCGCGGGAAUGCGUAGGUGGCAAGCGUUAUCCGGAUUUAAUGGGUGUAAAGGGCGUGUAGCCGGGCUGACAAGGCAGGUGUGAAAUCCGGGGGCUCAACCCCCGAACUGCAUUUGAAACUGUUGGUCUUGAGUAUCGGAGAGGCAGGCGGAAUUCCUAGUGUAGCGGUGAAAUGCGUAGAUAUUAGGCGGAACACCAGUGGCGAAGGCGGCCUGCUGGACGACAACUGACGGUGAGGCGCGAAAGCGUGGGGAGCAAACAGGAUUAGAUACCCCUGUAGUC